rnacentral:rRNA from 1 species
GAUGAACGCUGGCGGCGUGCCUAAUACAUGCAAGUCGAGCGAACGGACGAGAAGCUUGCUUCUCUGAUGUUAGCGGCGGACGGGUGAGUAACACGUGGAUAACCUACCUAUAAGACUGGGAUAACUUCGGGAAACCGGAGCUAAUACCGGAUGAUAUUUUGAACCGCAUGGUUCAAAAGUGAAAGACGGUCUUGCUGUCACUUAUAGAUGGAUCCGCGCUGCAUUAGCUAGUUGGUAAGGUAACGGCUUACCAAGGCAACGAUGCAUAGCCGACCUGAGAGGGUGAUCGGCCACACUGGAACUGAGACACGGUCCAGACUCCUACGGGAGGCAUCAGUAGGGAAUCUUCCGCAAUGGGCGAAAGCCUGACGGAGCAACGCCGCGUGAGUGAUGAAGGUCUUCGGAUCGUAAAACUCUGUUAUUAGGGAAGAACAUAUGUGUAAGUAACUGUGCACAUCUUGACGGUACCUAAUCAGAAAGCCACGGCUAACUACGUG